rnacentral:rRNA from 1 species
GAUGAACGCUGGCGGCGUGCUUAACACAUGCAAGUCGAACGGAACUUGUUGGAACGAGACUUCGGUCAAGUGAAUUCAAGUUUAGUGGCGGACGGGUGAGUAACGCGUGAGCAAUCUGCCUUGGAGUGGGGAAUAACACAGAGAAAUUUGUGCUAAUACCGCAUAAUGCAUUUAACUCGCAUGAGUUUGAAUGCCAAAGAUUUAUCGCUCUAAGAUGAGCUCGCGUCUGAUUAGCUAGUUGGUAGGGUAACGGCCUACCAAGGCGACGAUCAGUAGCCGGACUGAGAGGUUGGCCGGCCACAUUGGGACAGAGACACGGCCCAGACUCCUACGGGAGGCAGCAGUGGGGAAUAUCGGGCAAUGGGCGCAAGCCUGACCCAGCAACGCCGCGUGAAGGAAGAAGGCUUUCGGGUUGUAAACUUCUUUUAUUAGGGACGAACAGAUGACGGUACCUGAUGAAUAAGCCACGGCUAACUACGUGCCAGCCGCCGCCGUAAAAC